GUCGAGCGGAUGAAGAGAGCUUGCUCUCUGAUUCAGCGGCGGACGGGUGAGUCAUGCCUAGGAAUCUGCCUGAUAGUGGGGGACAACGUUUCGAAACGAACGCUAAUACCGCAUACGUCCUACGGGAGAAAGUGGGGGAUCUUCGGACCUCACGCUAUCAGAUGAGCCUAGGUCGGAUUAGCUAGUUGGUGAGGUAAUGGCUCACCAAGGCUACGAUCCGUAACUGGUCUGAGAGGAUGAUCAGUCACACUGGAACUGAGACACGGUCCAGACUCCUACGGGAGGCAGCAGUGGGGAAUAUUGGACAAUGGGCGAAAGCCUGAUCCAGCCAUGCCGCGUGUGUGAAGAAGGUCUUCGGAUUGUAAAGCACUUUAAGUUGGGAGGAAGGGCAGUAAAUUAAUACUUUGCUGUUUUGACGUUACCGACAGAAUAAGCACCGGCUAACUCUGUGCCAGCAGCCGCGGUAAUACAGAGGGUGCAAGCGUUAAUCGGAAUUACUGGGCGUAAAGCGCGCGUAGGUGGUUUGUUAAGUUGAAUGUGAAAGCCCCGGGCUCAACCUGGGGACUGCAUCCAAAACUGGCAAGCUAGAGUACGGUAGAGGGUGGUGGAAUUUCCUGUGUAGCGGUGAAAUGCGUAGAUAUAGGAAGGAACACCAGUGGCGAAGGCGACCACCUGGACUGAUACUGACACUGAGGUGCGAAAGCGUGGGGAGCAAACAGGAUUAGAUACCCUGGUAGUCCACGCCGUAAACGAUGUCAACUAGCCGUUGGAAUCCUUGAGAUUUUAGUGGCGCAGCUAACGCAUUAAGUUGACCGCCUGGGGAGUACGGCCGCAAGGUUAAAA
rnacentral:rRNA from 1 species